rnacentral:rRNA from 1 species
CCGUACACAAAAGCGCAUGUGCUGUGAGCUCGAUGAGUAGGGCGGGACACGUGGUAUCCUGUCUGAAUAUGGGGGGACCAUCCUCCAAGGCUAAAUACUCCUGACUGACCGAUAGUGAACCAGUACCGUGAGGGAAAGGCGAAAAGAACCCCGGCGAGGGGAGUGAAAAAGAACCUGAAACCGUGUACGUACAAGCAGUGGGAGCACAGGUUUACCU